rnacentral:rRNA from 1 species
GCAGUCGAACGGUGAAGCCAAGCUUGCUUGGUGGAUCAGUGGCGAACGGGUGAGUAACACGUGAGCAACCUGCCCUGGACUCUGGGAUAAGCGCUGGAAACGGCGUCUAAUACUGGAUAUGAGACGUGAUCGCAUGGUCGUGUUUGGAAAGAUUUUUCGGUCUGGGAUGGGCUCGCGGCCUAUCAGCUUGUUGGUGAGGUAAUGGCUCACCAAGGCGUCGACGGGUAGCCGGCCUGAGAGGGUGACCGGCCACACUGGGACUGAGACACGGCCCAGACUCCUACGGGAGGCAGCAGUGGGGAAUAUUGCACAAUGGGCGAAAGCCUGAUGCAGCAACGCCGCGUGAGGGAUGACGGCCUUCGGGUUGUAAACCUCUUUUAGCAGGGAAGAAGCGAAAGUGACGGUACCUGCAGAAAAAGCGCCGGCUAACUACGUGCCAGCAGCCGCGGUAAUACGUAGGGCGCAAGCGUUAUCCGGAAUUAUUGGGCGUAAAGAGCUCGUAGGCGGUUUGUCGCGUCUGCUGUGAAAUCCCGAGGCUCAACCUCGGGCCUGCAGUGGGUACGGGCAGACUAGAGUGCGGUAGGGGAGAUUGGAAUUCCUGGUGUAGCGGUGGAAUGCGCAGAUAUCAGGAGGAACACCGAUGGCGAAGGCAGAUCUCUGGGCCGUAACUGACGCUGAGGAGCGAAAGGGUGGGGAGCAAACAGGCUUAGAUACCCUGGUAGUCCACCCCGUAAACGUUGGGAACUAGUUGUGGGGACCAUUCCACGGUUUCCGUGACGCAGCUAACGCAUUAAGUUCCCCGCCUGGGGAGUACGGCCGCAAGGCUAAAACUCAAAGGAAUUGACGGGGACCCGCACAAGCGGCGGAGCAUGCGGAUUAAUUUGAUGCAACGCGAAGAACCUUACCAAGGCUUGACAUAUACGAGAACGGGCCAGAAAUGGUCAACUCUUUGGACACUCGUAAACAGGUGGUGCAUGGUUGUCGUCAGCUCGUGUCGUGAGAUGUUGGGUUAAGUCCCGCAACGAGCGCAACCCUCGUUUUAUGUUGCCAGCACGUAAUGGUGGGAACUCAUGGGAUACUGCCGGGGUCAACUCGGAGGAAGGUGGGGAUGACGUCAAAUCAUCAUGCCCCCUAUGUCUUGGGCUUCACGCAUGCUACAAUGGCCGGUACAAAGGGCUGCAAUACCGUGAGGUGGAGCGAAUCCCAAAAAGCCGGUCCCAGUUCGGAUUGAGGUCUGCAACUCGACCUCAUGAAGUCGGAGUCGCUAGUAAUCGCAGAUCAGCAACGGUGCGGUGAAUACGUUCCCGGGUCUUGUACACACCGCCCGUCAAGUCAUGAAAGUCGGUAACACCUGAAGCCGGUGGCCCAACCCUUGUGGAGGA